rnacentral:rRNA from 1 species
AGCGUAGGCGGACUUUAAGUGAGAUGUGAAAUACCCGGGCUCAACUUGGGUGCUGCAUUUCAAACUGGAAGUCUAGAGUGCAGGAGAGGAGAAUGGAAUUCCUAGUGUAGCGGUGAAAUGCGUAGAGAUUAGGAAGAACACCAGUGGCGAAGGCGAUUCUCUGGACUGUAACUGACGCUGAGGCUCGAAAGCGUGGGGAGCAAACA